GACACCCAGUGUGACUGUGAACAAGACAAAUAUGAAUGCCACGUGUUCAACCCAGGGGGGAUACCCACAGCCAGUCGUCACAUGGACCAUCCAGGACGUCCUAUUGGCUCAGAACCGCACUCUGGACCCGUGGGAAGUACAGACCGAAAGACCAUCUGAUCCUGAAAGUGGACUGUACACCGUUUGGAGCCAAGUGAAUAUAAGAGAAAAUCAGACGGUGACCUGCCAUAUCUUCAACCCCGUUCUGAGAGAGACUGUGAGCAACACAACCAUCGUCAGCUCCAAUCAGAGCAUUAACACAGACCCUGCAGGUGAAGUUCAGGAAGGCUUUUCUCCCAGAAUUAUUGGAGCUAUUACAGUAUUUAUUCUGUUUGGCGUCGGUGUCGGUGUGGGGGGUUAUUUAUGGUACAGAAAACGUUGUGGAGCCAGUGGUGGAACCAAAGAAGUUGAAGGAAAUAACCAUCAAGGCAAUGGUAGUGUUGAGACAGAGCUUUUGGACAAGUUACUGUAGAGGUUCUGAAGCUUGUACCAUGACCAAGGACUAGAUUCAAUCCGGACCAAAACGGAGCCCAUAUAUACAGCAUUUACCGUGAAUGCAUUCUCUGCAAAUGCAGGAUUGUUAGCUUUUAAAUUUCACUAGUGCGGAUCUUCAGUGGUCCAGACUGAAUCCAGGCCUAAAACCAUGUAAACCUCAACACACUGGUACAGUUGUGUACUCUCAGACUGACUUAGAGGAGACAUUUUCACUGUGCCAAACAGACCUCACUGUGCCAAACAGACCUCACUGUGCCAAACAGACCUCACUCUGCCAAACAGACCUCACUGUGCCAAACAGACCUCACUGUGCCAAACAGACCUCACUGUGCCAAACAGACCUCACUCUGCCAAACAGACCUCACUCUGCCAAACAGACCUCACUGUGCCAAACAGACCUCACUGUGCCAAACAGACCUCACUGUGCCAAACAGACCUCACUGUGCCAAACAGACCUCACUGUGUUCAACAUUAGGGACAGCUGCUUCAGAUCUGUAACCAGAUUUAGAUUACAUUUUGAUUUUGUCUUUAAUAAAUAUUGUUGUGAAUAUUCAAAAAGGUUCAUGUAUUAUAUUUAUUUCAAUGUCAAACUUUUUAUUCUGGUAUUUUCCUAUACAGUAGGUGUAUUGAAAUUUGGCCAUUCUAUAUUCGUAUUAUUUGGGGAAAUUGUAUUUGAAACUCAUUUGAAAUGUCCAGGAUGUGGUUACAUUUGGUAGAGAGACCCUUCUGCUGCAUUGAUGUAGCUAAACACAUGUAUGUGACCCAUAACAUUUGAUUUGAUGAAACAUACUGCUUAUUGCAUUCAGUGGCUCAUGG